GUGGGUGUAGUUUAAUGGCAGAACGCGAGCUUCCCAAGCUUGCAGCGCGAGUUCGAUUCUCGUCACCCGCUCCA
rnacentral:tRNA from 1 species